UUCAGGAAUAAUGUAAGAAGCAGCCUAUUUAUUUAUAUAUUUAUUUUAUUAUUUACUCCUUUUCAGUAUUGAUGCUUCGUUGGACGAUGGGUCCCUAGGAAGGCUUGUUAAUGAUGAUUCAAACCCCAAUGCCAAAAUGAGAAAAAUUGUACUUCAUGAUCUCCCCCAUUUAUGCCUAUUUGCUAUUAAAGACAUUUAAAAAGAUGAAGAAAUCACGUACGAUUACGGAGGAACUGGUUUGCCAUGGCGUGUUUAUACAAAGAAAAGGUCAAAAAACAAGUCCUCUAUGGAGCCCACUCCUGCCCAUGAAUCAGCUCCAGAUCCCACUCCCACCCAAGAACAUGCUGUAGAAUCUGCUCCAACCCAUGAGCCUUCUGCACGUACAUUACCCCAUGAGGCCACUCCAGUGCGUGAUCCAGCCCAUUGGCACCCUACAGAAUUCACUCAAACCCAUGAGCCUGCUCU